CACUUUUCUUCUGUAUAAAAAUAUGUAGUGUAUUUUAUUUAUACUCCAUGGAGUAAGUUUUCUGAUAGUUCUGGGGCCAGGGUUCAUAGGUAUUACUAUAUAAUACGAGAUUAUGAGUGGUAUUGUGAGAUGUAUAGAUGAAUUAGAGAGUAGAGGUCUGCCUCAGAGUAUAACAUUGUUGAAGGCCUAAGUGCAUCUAUUUAAACAGAAAGGACAAAGUGUUUGUUAAGCCUUAGAAAAUAAGUCUUUUACAUAGUCUCAUAUCCACUGUGCUUAGUGAAGAUGACUACGACCAUGAUCAUUAAGAGAUUAGUAGGUAACAAAGAAAGGAAAGAAACAAGAUGAGUGAUGCUUUUCACAUUUUUUUAACAUUGUACAUGCUAUCAUGAGCUAAAGAAACAGUAAUGUGAGCUGAGAGACUUAGCUAACAGAUUCCAAAAUGGUCCAUCUAAUACAUUCAGUUGAUGUGCCCAGUGAUUUUCCAAAUACACAGAUGUAGCCAAAUUACAAAGAACUGCUUCUCCGUUGCAGUAUGUGCAGCAUGUUUAAUUCAGCCACUUUUUUCUCUUGGUCAUUUAUGAAAAUGGACGGGCAAGUUGGGGCAAGGCUCUACUUUCUUCUGGUUCCUCCCAGUAAAAAUAACCAUUUAUCUCUUCCUCCUCAAAGCUUGGAGAUAGAGUAUCUCACUACCCUUCCCUUUGGCUCCUCACAGCCACAGACUCUGGAAGAGUACAGUUUUGGAGAUAAGCCAGAUACCACUUCUGGCUCCUGAACUGAAUACAACAGUUGGACAUGGAGGACAGCCAUAGCAACUCUGCAGGACGCUGAAAGUCCCCGCUGGACUCCAUCAGGCUUGAUGGCAAUGAAAGUGCGCUCGGAAAUGGAUGCCAUCGUCCUACAAGAGGAGAAAAAGGGACUCCGUAUUCCAGGACCAGAAGGCAAAUGCAGCCACAACAGAAAUCUAGAAGGCAUACCCACAAUCUUCCACAACCUUAUUGUGCUUAUGUGUACUGAUCUAAUAAGUGAAAUAAUAUCCAAAAGGUGCUACAAAAAUAAAUGUAAACGUAACAGCCCUAUAAAUAUUGAAGAGCGCAAUUAGUCCAUACCAAGAAUGAAGAGAUUUUAUAUUAAGCGAUGAAUGGAGAUUAUAUUGCAGGUCAGUGUACUCUAAGAUGCACACUGAUAGGAUGCUGCCCUCACUUUAAGACAAAACAGGCUAAACUAAGACCAGGUGUAUCACUUUGAUCUAUAGUUAUCUACAGCCAGUCAGUGUUGUAAUGAAGUAUGCUAAGAAUGUGCAUGGGGUCUGGAAGGUCAGAAAGUCAUACUGGAGUAGCCAAUGUGUCAUUUUUAGAGGCACAAACUGAGUACUACAGUAGCUACACAGUCACUGUGGUUUACAAUUGUCAACAUUUUAAAAACCAAAAUUAAGCAUUCUUCAGAAAUUAAAAACUAAUCUCUAAGAAUAUAAAACAUUUUAAAGUAUGGUGCUAACACAAUCCUAUUUCUAUAAGUAUAGCAUAGACUGAGCAAUUAGAGAAACAACCAGCUAGUUAUUCUAGAGCAGUUGUGAACAAGCUAAGGGCAUUGAAAGAAAG